UUGUUCGCAAUGGGCGCAAGCCUGACGACGCAACGCCGCGUGGAGGAUGAAGAUCUUCGGGUCGUAAACUCCUGUCGAAUGGGACGAACGGGUUGUGGGUUAACACCCCAUGACCGUGACGGUACCGUUAAAGGAAACCCCGGCUAACUCCGUGCCAGCAGCCGCGGUAAUACGGGGGGGGGUAAGCGUUGUUCGGAAUUACUGGGCGUAAAGGGCUCGUAGGCGGCCAACUAAGUCAGACGUGAAAUCCCUCAGCUUAACUGGGGAACUGCGUCUGAUACUGGAUGGCUUGGAUCCGGGAGAGGGAUGCGGAAUUCCAGGUGUAGCGGUGAAAUGCGUAGAUAUCUGGAGGAACACCGGUGGCGAAGGCGGCAUCCUGGACCGGUAUUGACGCUGAGGAGCGAAAGCCAGGGGAGCAAACGGG
rnacentral:rRNA from 1 species